CUGGGAGUCAUGGUUCAGAGGCUCGGUGUGGUUGAGGCAUCUCUAGGGCACAGGACUGGGUGUUCAGGCCAUUGUCAGCAGGGUAGCUCUUCCGGAGCUGGAGGGGGAGUAUACAUUUCUUCACUAAGUUAUAUACCAAAUGGAUCCUAAGACCAUAGAUUUGGGGUUGGAAGAAACUUUAGAGUCCAUCAUGUUCAAAUUCCUCAUUUUACAGAUAAGGAAACUGAAGCAACAGGUUCAGUGACUUGUCCAGGAACACACAAGCUAAUGUCAGCAGUGGGAUUUGAAGGCAGGUCUUCCUUACUCCAAGGCUUGUGCUACUGCUUCUACCUCUGGGGGGAGAGAAAAAAGGUGGGAAGGGGGAAGAGGUGGCAGCUCAGCCAAACCGCAGCCUGGUGGUUUUAAUGGACCUUUCAUUCGAAUUUCCCUGCAUAAUAUAUGGGAAGGGGCAGGACCUGAAGUGGUUGAUGCUGGAGCAAUUUCUGAUGCUGCAGGUUGGGGGAUAGGACAUGGAUCAAUACAGAAACCAGAGAAGGAAAUGGCAAACCCCUCACUUCAGUGGCUUGGUCAAGAAAACUUGUCCAUGGAGUCAGGAAGAGUGGGACAUGACUGAAUGACAACAAAUACUUAGAAUGCCGAGGAAACAGAGAGGAGGUUGUGACUGGGACCACAGAGGAUUUGACCAUGAUCCGUGAAGAGAAUGGGAAAAUUAGAAGUCAGAGGGGACAGGAAGAAGAAGGAAUCUUGCUGUUAUAUUGUGGAAGAAAGUAGCUUGGCUUGGUGGAGACUCUGCCCUUCCUCAAGCUAAAAGUCCCAAGAAGGAAGAGAAGGUAAUGGCUACUGGGCUCCUGACUAUCUGUUCCAGAAUUAUUGUACAAAAAGAAAUUGGCUUUGAAAAUUUAAGGAAACUUGGGGAGUACUUCAAAGAAUUGAGACAUGCAUAGAACCAGAAGAAUAAACUACAACAUGACCACCAAAAUGUACAAAAGAAAUCAACACUAAAGCACCGGCCCUGAAGUCAGGAGUACCUGA